CCUACGGGUGGCAGCAGUGAGGAAUAUUGGUCAAUGGCCGGAAGGCUGAACCAGCCAAGCCGCGUGAAGGACGAAGGUGCCAAGCAUUGUAAACUUCUUUUGUCAAGGGACAAAAUCAGGCUCGAGAGCCUGACCGAGGGUACUUGAAGAAAAAGCAUCGGCUAACUCCGUGCCAGCCGCCGCGGUAAUACGGAGGAUGCGAGCGUUAUCCGGAUUUAUUGGGUUUAAAGGGUGCGUAUGCGGACUGUUAAGUCAGCGGUAAAAGCCCGGGGCUCAACCCCGGCGAGCCGUUGAAACUGGCGGUCUUGAGAUGUGGAGAGGUAUGCGGAAUGGGCAGGGUAGCGGGGGAAUGCUUAGAUAUUGCGCAGAACUCCGAUUGGGAAGGCAGCAGAACGGCGGCGAUCUGACGCUGAGGGACGAAAGCGUGGGGAUCGAACAGGAUUAGAUACCCCGGGUAGUC
rnacentral:rRNA from 1 species